rnacentral:tmRNA from 1 species
GGGGGCGAUCCGGUUUCGACGGGGAUCUCUGAAGGAUGUGUUGCGUGUCGAGGUGGCCGUUGGCCUCGUAAAAAAGCGGCAAAGCCUUUAACUGGCAACCAAGAAAUGCAGUACGCUUACGCUGCCUAAACCCCAGCGCAGCAACCGUUAGAGCCUUGCCAUUGGCGCUACGCGAGCUGACUUAAACAAUGGCUAGCUCCGGUUACAUCCUGGGACCGGGCGCGAAAACAAACAGGGUUAAGGAAAGGGAAGCCUGCCUGUGGGCCAGCCCCGCCCCGACAAUUCAUACUCAGGCUACACACGUAGAGUCACGCUGAAUGGGUUUUCGGACGAGAGUUCGACUCUCUCCGCCUCCACCA